rnacentral:rRNA from 1 species
UUUAAAUGUAAAAUUAAUAUACUAAAGUAGUAUUAGUUAUGUUCUUGAAAUUUAAAGAUUUUGGCGGUAUUUUAGUCUGUUUAGAGGAACCUGUUCUAUGAUUGAUAGUCCACGAUUAAUUUUACUUGGUUUAUAUAAAUUUGUAUACCGUCGUUAUAAGAAGAUUUUAAAAGAAUAUAAAUUUUUAAUAUUUUAUAUAAGAAAAUAUAUCAGAUCAAGGUGCAGUUUAUAAUUAAGAAGAAAUGGGUUACAAUAAAUUUAUUUAUUAUACGGAUUGGGAGGAGGUAAUUAUACUCUAUGAAGGUGGAUUUAAUAGUAAUAAAAUUAAUUUAAAUUUUAUGAUUUUAGCUCUAAAAUAUGU